rnacentral:rRNA from 1 species
UACAGAGGGUGCAAGCGUUAAUCGGAAUUACUGGGCGUAAAGCGCACGUAGGCGGCUUUGUAAGUUAGAGGUGAAAGCCCGGGGCUCAACCCCGGAAUUGCCUUUAAGACUGCAUCGCUUGAACGUCGGAGAGGUGAGUGGAAUUCCGAGUGUAGAGGUGAAAUUCGUAGAUAUUCGGAAGAACACCAGUGGCGAAGGCGGCUCACUGGACGACUGUUGACGCUGAGGUGCGAAAGCGUGGGGAGCAAACAGG